AUUUGGAUCUCACGUACCGUGAGAGGAAUUGAGUGACUAUGGUCAGCUUUUUUGUGACAUUGACGGUGAUGGAUUGCAGCUCUGUAUGAGAUGAGAUCGAAUAAAGUCAAAAGCUUGACCUAUACUGAUCGGAGAGUUUAUUGCAACUGACCCUGUUCUUAACAUUUCGUGCCCUAUUUGUUUAUUGGUCCCAUAGUCUAGAAUAUUCGCCAUAAACAAUUGCGCUUUGUAUAGCUGGUUCAUUUCUAUGCGUUCCUGUCUUUUGACAAUUCGCUUGUUAUUGUUUCUGUGUUGUGAUUGUUGUGUUAUCCUCAAAGGUGAUUGUUUGGGUAUACGUGGAUGACGAUUUAAAGGUGGGGAUUCAGGUCCAUCAGCUGCGGACUUUUGUUCAGUGUUGUUUAUGUGUAAUAAAGUGUUUUUAAAGAAUAAAAU